CUGGAGUAGGGUGGGGGACUUCCUGCUGGCCAGGCAAUCUCAAAGGGCACUGUGUGACCUUCCAGGCCCGACAACAAAAGGAUUUUCAUCUGGCAGAGCAUUGCUCGCCCCGUGGCUGCCCGGCGUGGUCACAUUGUCGGUGACCUUCAGGACAGGACCGCUUGGAAGUUGGGUACAGGAGCCCACUUUCUCCCGGGACAAUGGAACCUCGAGUGCCAGCCAUUCUCAACGCCCGGCCUGGCCAUCUGUCCCGUUCAGAACCGUAGGUGUCUGAGAUAGCGACGCUGCAACAAGCGGGCCUUGAGAACCUUAACUCUCAGCAGGGCCUGGCCGGCAGCCGCCCUCGGGCUCUCUCCCGGGACGUGCCGCAAGGGCGUGGGGGUCUGGGGGGCUCCUGGCCCCGGGGCCCGCACCCCUACAUUCCAGAAGCCCCAGCGGAUCCUGGAUCUGGCCUGUCUGACCUCUCCUGGAUGGAUGGCAGGGCAAAAUGUUCACAGGACGCUCGCUCUGUCCCAGAACCACGGAGCUUCUGAUGACAGGAACAGAGCCGAAGUCUCCAACCCCGUCGAGCCUCUUCCAGAACUCCCAGGUCCCAGCUCGGAUAGCGGUGCUCGUGCUGUGUCAGUCGCUGCCUUGCACACGAGCUGCUCGUGUCUGCCCCCGAAGACAGAAGGCGCAUCUUUGAUGUCCCGACAGGUGGGUGUGGGCAUGGGCGGAGGUGGCUGGGUGGACCUUCUGAAAACUCGCUUUGAAAAAAUCGAUAUGACUUCAUACCUCACCAUGUGCACAUGUUAUUAUUAGUAAUUAUUGGGAGAGAGUGAAAACAGAAAUCUUUAUUUUUUAAUGGGGCAUGAUUAAACUUUAAUGACCAGUGACCUCACAAAAUGACUGCCACACAAUGCAAUUUGCUCAUCUCUGCUUGUGCAUACCUUCUGGGUAUUAGAAAAUUACAUAAUUAAGUAUAGAUUACCACAGGCAUGUCAUUACACAUUUUAUUAUUCCUUAGAGACUUAGUAGUAAUACUCUGUAUUUAUAUGUGCUUUUCAACAGAUUAUCUCCAAUCACUUUACAAAUAUUAUCUCAUUAAUCCUUUGCAAUAGUUUCAUGAAUUUCUCUAUUUAAUGGAUUAAAAAACCACAACCUACAGCAAUUAAGUGACAAGCUGAACAUCGCACACUCCGCUCGUCUACCAGGGAAAAGGCAGCUUCACCGGCUAUAUCCACCUGGAGAGGGUGUGUUCUCAUUAAGUCAGAACCGAAGGUAAAAAAAUCCUUUCCAAGUGCUCAGGAAAAUAAGCAGAAGUAGGGUUGUUCAUCGUAGAACAGUCAUGGGGCUGAUUCUUCAGCGUCUUUCAUCGGUGAAGUGCUAGAGGAAGAGUGUAGAUGGAGCUUUCAAAAAGAGAUUAAAAAAUAUAUACAUACACACACAUCCAAAUCAGGGGAUGGGAGCAG
rnacentral:lncRNA from 1 species